GAACAAAAGCAGACUGAGAAACACCGAAAAAGCAACUCGGCCGAGCCUGGGAUAUUCGGCUUUUCGAGUACAAAGGAGAAGCAGGCUGCCGGUCGGGGAAAAAGCUGUCAGCACACUUGCUCACCAAUAACAGUGAAAGUAACUCUGGCACUGAUUCCUCUGAGAGUUCCAUACCAGCAGUAUUCAAAGAAUCCAGAUAACUUCAAGUAGCUGAUGCCAAAAGAAUCUGUCUUGGAAGCAAAAUAAACUCCAGACAAGCAGUAACUUCACAGAAAGGAGCCUGGCAAGUCUGGAUGUCAACUGACUGAGUCAUAUACAGCCUUUAUAGGCCAGCCACUCACACUAUUUCAAAACACUGAGGAGAAGAGCAGGAGAGGGUGAGGAAAGACCAUGUUGACGGAAGGCAUACCUGGCCACAGAGGAGAAGGACAGGAUCCUAUGUGAAACUUCAGAAAGGCUGAUAUGUGAAACUUCAGAAGACAAAUACGGUGAGAACAACAGUGGAAGAUGUAACAGACACAAUUACCAAGCAAUAUCCCCUUUACUUUCCAGGCUCUGGGUUAUUUGAAAUUUUGAUACUCCCCCUCCCCAAAUUUCCAUUUCCCCUAAGGCAAAUGUACUUACUGAUGCUCAAUUUGGAAGUUGAGGUGCCCUGUAAACCAGUCGUUGAAUAAGGACUGGUUUACAUUGCAUGUUGCCUGGAGCUGAAAAGGGAAGAAAGAGAGGAAUAAGCCAACUCUAAGAAUGAGUUAAUUUUAUUUCAGGCUGGACAUUUCCAUGCCCGCAGCUGUCUCAAUCUGUCCUCUAAACAAGAACAGAGUUUUAUACUUUGGAUCAAAAUAAAAACAGCGUGAGAA